rnacentral:rRNA from 1 species
CCUACGGGGGGCAGCAGUAGGGAAUCUUCCACAAUGGGCGAAAGCCGGAGGGAGCAACGCCGCGGGGGGGAAGAAGGUCUUCGGAUCGUAAAACCCGGUGGGUAGAGAAGAAAGGGCGGGAGAGUAACUGUUCACGUGUCGACGGUAUCUAACCAGAAAGCAACGGCUAACUACGUGCCAGCAGCCGCGGUAAUACGUAGGUGGAAAGCGUUAUCCGGAUUAAUUGGGCGUAAAGGGAACGAAGGCGGUCUUUUAAGUCUGAUGUGAAAGCCUUCGGCUUAACCGGAGGAGUGCAUUGGAAACUGGGAGACUUGAGUGCAGGAGAGGGGAGUGGAACUCCAUGUGUAGCGGUGAAAUGCGUAGAUAUAUGGAAGAACACCAGUGGCGAAGGCGGCUCUCUGGUCUGUAACUGACGCUGAGGUUCGAAAGCGUGGGUAGCAAACAGGAUUAGAUACCCUAGUAGUC